UACGGAGGGGGCUAGCGUUGUUCGGAAUUACUGGGCGUAAAGCGUACGUAGGCGGCUUUGUAAGUUAGAGGUGAAAGCCCGGGGCUCAACUCCGGAAUUGCCUUUAAAACUGCAUCGCUAGAAUUGUGGAGAGGUAAGUGGAAUUCCGAGUGUAGAGGUGAAAUUCGUAGAUAUUCGGAAGAACACCAGUGGCGAAGGCGACUUACUGGACACAUAUUGACGCUGAGGUGCGAAAGCGUGGGGAGCGAACGGG
rnacentral:rRNA from 1 species